AGUGAACGCUGGCGGCGUGCUUAACACAUGCAAGUCGAACGAGAACGUGUUAUAGCUUGCUAUAAUUGUCAGCUAAGUGGCGCACGGGUGAGUAAUGUAUAGGUAAUAUGCCUCUUACUAAGGGAUAACAAAUGGAAACGUUUGCUAAUACCUUAUACUCCUUAUUAACAUAAGUUAAUAAGGGAAAGAUUUAUUGGUAAGAGAUUAGCCUGUAUUGUAUCAGUUAGUUGGUGGGGUAAUGGCUAACCAAGACUAUGACACAUAACUGGUUUGAGAGGAUGAGCAGUCACACUGGAACUGAGACACGGUCCAGACUCCUACGGGAGGCAGCAGUGGGGAAUAUUGCACAAUGGACGAAAGUCUGAUGCAGCAACGCCGCGUGGAGGAUGACACAUUUCGGUGCGUAAACUCCUUUUAUAUGAGAAGAUAAUGACGGUAUUAUAUGAAUAAGCACCGGCUAACUCCGUGCCAGCCGCCGCCGUAA
rnacentral:rRNA from 1 species